AUGCUGAUGCUGACCUCGACCCCUUUGGCCCAGAGUUUCUCUGCCGACCUCUUCCUGGGUUUCGCAACCAGCUUCCAGCAGGUCUACGCGCUGGCGCAGUGCGACGUUUACUGCAGCAACUACGUCACCCAGGCCGUGCAGUGUAUCGUGGUCGAGUGCGGCGGCGCCCCCUCCGGCCAGGUCUACCUCGAUAAGUGCUACAUUACCUACAGCUACUACCCCCACUAUUUCAUGAAUGGUUCAUUACAAUAG
rnacentral:rRNA from 1 species